CAUACGAAGUGUCCGUUUAUAUUAUUGACAAGACGAUUUCAAUGAAACUUAUAGUUAACUCUUUAAACUAUUUUUUAAUAAUUGAUAAGCCUAAAUUCAUUUAGUCUUAUUCAAUGAAAUAUCAUGACGCAUUCAGAGAAGCAGGGUGAAAAAAAAUGUAUGAGCAUCGGACUCGAACUCGAUAACAUUGUUAUUAUAGACGUCAUGUUAUAAGUUUAAAAGGUAACCUAACCUAAUUUAUUCCUACAUAAAUUAACAUUUUUAUAUCUAGUAAAUUGGAUUUGAGUUUAAGGAUCGUUUUAAAUAGGAAGCAAUAAUGCUCUAUCGGGCUUUAAAUGUUAAAUUAAUAAUUAUUAGAUUCUCGCUAUUAAAAAAGAAGAAUUCAAACGGAAGAAAUCUGUAAUCAAAAAAUACUCUUCGGAUUUUACCGAUGAAAAACAAGGUGAGUCUAGAAUUAUAAUUAUAUGAUUUUGUCCGUGUACUAUGUUUUUUGCUCAAAGGUUCUUCAGAAAGUUUGUUGGAAACGAUUUGGAAAUCAAGAGAAAAAAUCGAAAACUUUUCCGAUAAAUAUAUCAAAGAUGAGAUAAUCCUCUUUUUGGGCGCUGUAAGU